UGUAUAGUCUAUAGAUCAAUUUUAUAUGUUCACUGUGACUGUGAGUAGUGAUAUCUUUAUUACAAAAUCAAAUGAUCGACUGAAAAAAAGAAACCCAUAAUUAGGUUUUGAACGCUAAAACAUUUUUUUUUUUGGGUUAUAAUCUUAAAUAAUAUAUCCUCGUAGUCGUAUGUAUGGGUUUUAUUGGGCUUUGAUGCUCGAAAAAAUCUGACCCCAAAAAAAUUAAAAACAAAAAAUCUAGACAUGGGAUGAUUACGAGGACGAUGAUUGUAAUAAUCAGUGGCCGACUAUACGGCAACCUGAACAUGAUGCUGCUUUAAGGAAACUCGCCGCUGGAGUGUGGCGAUUGCAAGUCUCGGAUGCUCCUGUUACCACCGACAGAGGUAAGAAGAGGAGCAGGGAUGUGAUAGGGUUUCAGGAAAGUGUUGGUCCUGCUGGACACUUGGGUCCUCUGUUUUAUUAUCACCAUGAUAAAAAGUAUUCUGGCUUUCAAAGCAACAAAUUAAGAGACGGUGAUACUUCUGUCCCUGCAACAAAAGUGGAUUCUUGUGUUAUAAGCAUGAGCCUUCAAUUCCAUUUCUAUACGAUGCAAUGGAGGGGCAACAAAAUGGGAUCCCAUAAGCUUGGAUACAAGGGAUGGUGUACACCAAAUCUAUAGCAAUGCAAAGCAGAUUAAUCAAAAAGUGAAUGCUGUUUCAUUGGCUUCUUCUUUUGAGUUGAAACUCGAGAAAGCUCGUGCUUGCAUUGAGAAUGCUGAGAGUGAGAAGCGUUCUCAGAAAAAGAAGCUUCAGCAGUUCCUCAGGAAAGUUAGCCAGGAGAGGGCAGCUUGGCGCAGCAGGGAGCAUGAGAAGGUCCGAGCAAUCAUUGAAGACAUGAAAGCUGACAUGGCCCGGGAAAAGAAAUCGUCAAUCUGAAACUAGUCAAUGAGCUUGCAGAUUCAAAGUUAGCCGUAAAGCGUUACAUGCAUGAUUACCAACAGGAAAAGAAAGCAAGAAAGUUCAGCCAUGUAAAGCAAUGUAUGUACAUAUCAGUUGACUUGUCUAGCUUCAGCCAGUUACCAAACUCUUGCUGGUUACCACUUACCAGGAACAAAGACCCAGUCAGUGGUGUUUGCUGUAAUGAAUUUUGUUCUUCUUUAUAAUCCAACUUGAUGUUCCGUCAAUAAUAUCUUAUUUUAUUA